AUUGAACGCUGGCGGCAUGCCUUACACAUGCAAGUCGAACGGUAGAGGGGGCAACCCCUUGAGAGUGGCGAACGGGUGAGUAAUGCAUCGGAACGUGCCCAGUAGUGGGGGAUAGCCCGGCGAAAGCCGGAUUAAUACCGCAUACGACCUACGGGUGAAAGCGGGGGACCUUCGGGCCUCGCGCUAUUGGAUCGGCCGAUGUCAGAUUAGCUAGUUGGUGGGGUAAAGGCCCACCAAGGGGACGAUCUGUAGCUGGUCUGAGAGGACGACCAGCGACACUGGGACGGUGACCCGGCCCAGGAUACUCAGGGAGGCAGCAGGUGGGAAUCUUGGACAAUGGACGAAAGUCUGCUCCAGCCAUGCGGCGUGCGGGAAGAAGGCCUUCGGUGUGUAAGCCGCUUUUGUCAGUGGAGAGAUCUUCUGGGCGAAUAACCUGGGAGGAUGACGGUACCUGAAGAAUAAGCACCGGCUAAGUACGUGCCAGCCGCCGCCGUAACAC
rnacentral:rRNA from 1 species